rnacentral:rRNA from 1 species
UAGGAUUAGAUACCCUAUUAUUAAAAUUUAAAUUGAAAAUACUAAAAUAGUAGAUAAUUAUUUAUUGAAACUUAAAUAAUUUGGCGGUAUUUUAGUUCAUUUAGAGGAAUCUGUUUAAUAAUUGAUAAUCCACGAAUAAAUUUACUUAAUUUUUUAUUUUGUAUAUCGUUGUUAAAAAAAUAUUUUUUAAUAAUAAUAAUAUUUAAAAAUUUUGAUUAAAAAUUAAAUCAGAUCAAGAUGCAGAUUAUAAUUAAGAAUAUAAUGGAUUACAAUAAAUUUAUUUAGAUGAAUAUUAAUUUGUAAAA